UUGACCUCGAAUCAGGUAGGAAUACCCGCUGAACUUAAGCAUAUCAAUAAGCGGAGGAAAAGAAACCAACAGGGAUUGCCCCAGUAACGGCGAGUGAAGCGGCAACAGCUCAAAUUUGAAAUCUGGCUCUCGGGCCCGAGUUGUAAUCCGUAGAGGAUGCUUUUGGUGAGGUGCCUUCCGAGUUCCCUGGAACGGGACGCCAUAGAGGGUGAGAGCCCCGUCUGGUUGGACACCGAUCCUCUGUAAAGCUCCUUCGACGAGUCGAGUAGUUUGGGAAUGCUGCUCUAAAUGGGAGGUAUAUGUCUUCUAAAGCUAAAUACCGGCCAGAGACCGAUAGCGCACAAGUAGAGUGAUCGAAAGAUGAAAAGAACUUUGAAAAGAGAGUUAAACAGUACGUGAAAUUGUUGAAAGGGAAGCGCUUGUGACCAGACUUGGGCUUGGUUGAUCAUCCGGGGUUCUCCCCGGUGCACUCUUCCGGCUCAGGCCAGCAUCAGUUCGCCCUGGGGGAUAAAGGCUUCGGGAAUGUGGCUCUCUCCGGGGAGUGUUAUAGCCCGCUGCGUAAUACCCUGUGGCGGACUGAGGUUCGCGCAUUCGCAAGGAUGCUGGCGUAAUGGUCAUCAGUGAC
rnacentral:rRNA from 1 species